GACGAACGCUGGCGGCGUGCUUAACACAUGCAAGUCGAACGGUAAGGCCCUUCGGGGUACACGAGUGGCGAACGGGUGAGUAACACGUGGGUGAUCUGCCCUGCACUUCGGGAUAAGCCUGGGAAACUGGGUCUAAUACCGGAUAGGACCCUGGGAUGCAUGUCCUGGGGUGGAAAGCUUUUGCGGUGUGGGAUGGGCCCGCGGCCUAUCAGCUUGUUGGUGGGGUGAUGGCCUACCAAGGCGACGACGGGUAGCCGGCCUGAGAGGGUGACCGGCCACACUGGGACUGGGAUACGGCCCAGACUCCUACGGGAGGCAGCAGUGGGGAAUAUUGCACAAUGGGCGCAAGCCUGAUGCAGCGACGCCGCGUGAGGGAUGACGGCCUUCGGGUUGUAAACCUCUUUCAGCAUCGACGAAGCGCAAGUGACGGUAGGUGCAGAAGAAGGACCGGCCAACUACGUGCCAGCCGCCGCAGUAA
rnacentral:rRNA from 1 species